ensembl:lncRNA
UGUUUUUUUCCCAGGUUCUGUGUUAUCCAUUGGUCUUGGCAGGAUUCAGUGCAGCAAUAAAUGGUUUUCCUUUUUUCCUUGUACUGCGCACAUGGAGAAAUUCCCUGUCUCAGGUAAUAAACAAAUGUCAGGUUUGUUUUUCCCUUGCCUGACCAUUGAUGUGGAGUCAUUUUAGAGUGAAAGACCUGGCCCUGUCUCACUGCCAGCACCACACAGAGUUCUCUGGGAUGCAGAGGUUCUGUUGGGAAUGUCUCUGGGAUAAAUGCCCUGGAAUUAGAGCAUGGAUCAACCUGUUCAUUGAUGUGACAAUGCAGUUAUUGCUGAUAGGGAAGGAAAUUUAUUCCAGAAUUUCUCCAGCCAAGCUGUACAAUCCGAGGACAAGGGAAGGGGAGCUGCCUGGGGAGAACUGCUGCAGCCUGGGCUGUUGCAUCCGAUGGCAGAACAGCUGCUCAAUUAUUUCCCGCUGUCAGCAGCGAUGUAAAGGGAUUCAGGAACUGGACAUAAAACAAAAUCUGGACAAUGCAGGACUUGGCUCAUUCGUGUGGAGCACGCUAAGAACCAGCCCCAGCUGCACUGAGCUGUUAAUUUAAAUUAUUUUAAUGAGGAGAGGGAAGAAAGGACCUGAGGUGCAGCAUAAAUGUGGGAAAAAACCUCCUCCAGGUGAUGCCAACUUUUGGUGGCCUCAGAGCUUCCACCUGGAGCUUCACCCUGUGCUGUUCACAGCCUUGGCUGGCUCUGAUUUGGAAAUUUUGUUUGGCUUUUAGCUCAUUCCCUUCCAAAUCCCACGCAAAUUCCUCUGGAAAGGCCAGGCAGGACAGGUUGGAAAUGGGACAAGAUUGGGGUUGGCUGUGGUGGGAUCAGGACCAGCUUCUUGUCAUCUCUGCAAUAUCAGGUUUGCUCUGUUGGUGCUUCUCUACUUUUUUCCGUAUCUUUCCCAGUGUGUUCUUACCAGUCGGGAGCUAAAAAGCCUGUUAGGAAUGGAAAUGAAAACAGAAUUUGAUUAUCUUCCAAACUUUCCUUCACAGAAUUUGUCAAGAGCUUGCAAAAAACUCCCGAGCAAGGGAAGUCCUGGAUUAAAAACAUUCUGAUGUGCUGCUUGUGUUUUUCAGCACCUCUGAACACAAAGAUCUUCCCAGAAGGGUUUAAAAACAUAAAGCUACCUAAAAAUCCUCUUUAAAAUCAAAAUAAACAAGCAUUAAAUCCAUUUUCACUUCCAGUUUUGCAGUUUCCAUCCACAGAAGUGUAAUUGGGGAUCAAUGGGGUUUAAUUGGCUCUUGCUCACCUUGCACUUCUGUUUCAGGUGGGCAGAAGGAUCUGUAAAAACUCAAAUUCUCCAAGGUGGAGCCUGUUUCUGAUUCCUCUGGAGAGGUUCGUGGGUGGUGAGAGGUGAAAAAGGAGGAAUUUGGUUGUGUUUUGAUGCUGGGGUGUCCAUAAGCCAGGAAUUUUUGGGACAAACAUCCAUCUUUGUGCAGGAUGUGUCCCAGAUCCUUCUGCAGGAAAAUCCAAAGCAUUGGCUGGACUUGGAGCAUGGAUUUAAAUAGCAGAGGAGAAAGAAAGUUCUUCACUCAGAGGGGCUGGGAUGGAAAUCCCAGAGCAGAUUCGGCUCCCAUGGAUUCCUGGAAUAUCCAAGUCCAGGUUGGACAUUGGGGCUUGGAGCAGCCUGGGGCAAUGGGAGGUGUCCCUGCCAGGGAAGGGAUGGGAUGGGAUUUAAGGUCCUUCCCAACCCAAGCCAUUCCAGAAUUCUGUGAUAUCUAAUCCAGGAUCAGAUCAGCAGCUCCUGGUCAUCUCUUUUAAACUGGAAAUUCAAUAUUUUUCACUUAACAGGAAAAAUUCAGAAAUUAAAUUAUUCAGAAAUGAUUCAACCUUUCCUUUGCUGCUCCUUUUUGGGGAUGGUUCCAUGCAGGGCCUCAAAGAUCCCUGAGGGGUCCUUCCAACUCAGCGGAUUCUGGGAUUUUGAAUGGAAA